ensembl:snRNA U6 U6 spliceosomal RNA
GUGCUUGUUUCAGCAGCACACUCGGAAUUAUACAGAGAAGAUGAGCGAGGUCCCUGUGCAAGGAUGACAUGCAAAUUUAUGAAGCGUUCAUGUUAAAA